rnacentral:rRNA from 1 species
UACAGAGGCCUCAAGCGUUGUUCGGAAUUACUGGGCGUAAAGGGAAUGUAGGUGGUGACGUAAGUCAGAUGUGAAAGCCCUGGGCUUAACCUGGGAAAGGCAUUUGAUACUGUGUCGCUGGAGUGCGUGAGAGGAAAGCGGAAUUCCAGGUGUAGGGGUGAAAUCCGUAGAUAUCUGGAGGAAUACCGACGGCGAAGGCAGCUUUCUGGCACGUAACUGACACUGAGAUUCGAAAGCAUGGGUAGCAAACAGG